rnacentral:rRNA from 1 species
GACGAACGCUGGCGGCGUGCUUAACACAUGCAAGUCGAACGGAAAGGCCCUGCUUUUGUGGGGUGCUCGAGUGGCGAACGGGUGAGUAACACGUGAGUAACCUGCCCUUGACUUUGGGAUAACUUCAGGAAACUGGGGCUAAUACCGGAUAGGAGCUCCUGCUGCAUGGUGGGGGUUGGAAAGUUUCGGCGGUUGGGGAUGGACUCGCGGCUUAUCAGCUUGUUGGUGGGGUAGUGGCUUACCAAGGCUUUGGCGGGUAGCCGGCCUGAGAGGGUGACCGGCCACAUUGGGACUGAGAUACGGCCCAGACUCCUACGGGAGGCAGCAGUGGGGAGUAUUGCACAAUGGGCGGAAGCCUGAUGCAGCAACGCCGCGUGCGGGAUGACGGCCUUCGGGUUGUAAACCGCUUUCGCCUGUGACGAAGCGUGAGUGACGGUAAUGGGUAAAGAAGCACCGGCUAACUACGUG